CUAGUAUUAGAGGCACUGCCUGCCCAGUGACAUAUGUUCAACGGCCGCGGUAUCCUGACCGUGCAAAGGUAGCAUAAUCAUUUGUUCUUUAAUUUAGGACUUGAAUGAAAGGCCACACGAGGGUUAAACUGUCUCAUGCCCCCAAUCAGUGAAAUUGACCUUCCCGUGAAGAGGCGGGAAUGCAGUAAUAAGACGAGAAGACCCUAUGGAGCUUAAAUCAACUAGCCCAAACACAUACACUUAACAACCAAAACUAGGCAUAAUAUCUACUGGUUUCUGGGUUAAAAAUUUCGGUUGGGGUGACCUCGGAGCAUAAUUAAACCUCCGAACAAUUUCAGCCUAGACCUCACUAGUCAAAGCAACUUCCAUACUAAAUGAUCCAAACUAAUUUGAUCAAUGGAACAAGUUACCCUAGGGAUAACAGCGCAAUCCUAUUAUAGAGUCCAUAUCGACAAUAGGGUUUACGACCUCGAUGUUGGAUCAGGACACCCCAAUGGUGUAACCGCUAUUAAAGGUCCGUUUGUUC
rnacentral:rRNA from 1 species